AUGACCUCGUUUAAAAAAAUACGCCGUCUGGGAGCUUUACCAGGACUCACUAGAAAAACACCUAAAUCCGGAAGUAAUCUUAAAAAAUUCAAUUAUGGGAAAAAGGAGCAAUAUCGUAUUCGUCUUCAAGAAAAACAGAAAUUGCGUUUUCAUUAUGGUCUGACAGAACGACAAUUACUUACAUAUGUACAUAUCGCUGGAAAAGCAAAAAGGUCAACAGGCCAGGUUUUACUACAAUUACUUGAAAUGCGUUUGGAUAAUAUCCUUUUUCGAUUGGGUAUGGCUUCAACCAUUCCUGGGGCCCGCCAAUUAGUCAACCAUAGACAUAUUUUAGUUAAUGGUCGUAUAGUCAAUAUACCAAGUUUUCGUUGCAAACCCCGAGAUAUUAUUACUUCGAAAGAUAACCAAAGAUCAAAAGGUCUGGUUCAAAAUUAUAUUGCUUCAUCGGACCCGGGGAAAUUGCCAAAGCAUUUGGCGAUUGACACGUUGGAAUAUAAAGGACUAUUAAAUAAAAUCCUAGAUAGGAAGUGGGUCGGUCUCAAAAUAAAUGAGUUGUUAGUUGUAGAAUAUUACUCUCGUCAGACUUGA
rnacentral:rRNA from 1 species